UCGUUGAAUAUGAAGUGGACAUGACCACUGCGGUUGUCAGGCACACCGCAGUGCAAAACUUUAACCCAGAGAAUGUCGUGGAUUUCGAUCCAAUUGUCCUCUACGACGUGUGGUGGAACGGCGAUGCGACAGAGUGCUGCACAUGGCUGAAACUGAAGAAAUGGUGCUGCACACGUCGAAAAGGCUCAGAAAGCUGUCCUUAGAAAAGGGCAAGAGCACCAAAGGAAUUAUAACUGCCAUGGCCUCUAUGGCACCUUUGUCACAGGAGCAUGCUGACAUGGACAUAUUCACUGGAGAGGCCAUCGAUGUUGUCAUCGGAUCCUCAAGAGAUGACGGAAAGGUGUAUGCUGGAUCCGGGCAAUGAAUAGAAAAGGCUGCUAGGGGGACAUUGUUGCGGUCUACGUCUGACUAUGUUCUGCCA